AUUGAACGCUGGCGGCAGGCUUAACACAUGCAAGUCGAGCGGAGCGAGGGUGCUUGCACCUUAGCUUAGCGGCGGACGGGUGAGUAAUGCUUAGGAAUCUGCCUAUUAGUGGGGGACAACAUUCCGAAAGGAAUGCUAAUACCGCAUACGCCCUACGGGGAAAGCAGGGGAUCUUCGGACCUUGCGCUAAUAGAUGAGCCUAAGUCGGAUUCGCUAGUUGGUGGGGUAAAGGCCUACCAAGGCGACGAUCUGUAGCGGGUCUGAGAGGAUGAUCGGCCACACUGGAGCUGAGACACGGCCCAGACUCCUACGGGAGGCAGCAGUGGGGAAUAUUGGACAAUGGGUGGAAGCCUGAUCCAGCCAUGCCGCGUGUGUGAAGAAGGCCUUUUGGUUGUAAAGCACUUUAAGCGAGGAGGAGGCUCUUAAGGUUAAUACCCUUGAUGAGUGGACGUUACUCGCAGAAUAAGCACCGGCUAACUCUGUGCCAGCCGCCGCGGUAACAC
rnacentral:rRNA from 1 species